CCUUCGGUAUGGAGAGUCCUCUGGGGACCGUGGGACUGUCUGCCAAGUUCAUGUCCAAGGUGAUGCGGGGCUGACUCCGAUCAGAAUGAGCCCCAGCUGCUGGUCAGGCAGGUUUUCUGUGUCCCUGUUCCUGCUGGCACAGGCACCUCCCAGUAGUUUUGGAACAGAUGAUGUGCUUCACUCACCAGUGAUCCCAAGAUCCUGGGUGUGCUAGUGCACCUGCGGCUGGAGGAUCCUCUCCUGAGAUUUAUUAGUUGGUAAUAUUUCUGUGAUAUUUUGUGGUCAGUUACAUUGUAGUCAAUUUCUUUAAGCUCCCUCCUGUUUGCAUGCUAGAACUGCUAUUUCAGGGUGGAAGGAAGAGGCAAUGUCCUUGACCAGUCACAGUGGCUAAGACUUUUCUGGUGAGGAGGUGCAGGAAGGUCCAGGAAACAAGGACUGGCCCUUAAAUACAGGGUUCUCCUUGCUUACAGGGUUGUCACACACAUCCCCUGACCCCUGCCUCCAGGAGAUUGCAAUUGUCACAAAAUGACAACAGGCAGGAACCAUCAGAGAUUAGAUGAAGUCCAGAGUGUCAGAAGCCUGUUAACUAUCCAAAGCAUUACCCUCUUGUCUUAGUCAAUGUUUCCUGCUUUGAAAAGACACCAUGACCCCAGCCACUUUUAUAAAAGAAAGCUUACAGGUUCAGAAGUUUAGUCCAUUAUCAGCAUGAUGGGGAGCACGGUGGCACAUAGGGAAACAUGGAGCUAGAGAAGAAGCUGAGAGUUCAAUGUCCAGAUCUGAAGGCAGCAGGAAGAGAGCGACACCGGGCCUGGUUUGGGCUUUUAAAAAAUCUCAAAACUUGCUCUCAAGGACACACGUUCUCCAACAAGACCUAAGUGCUGCUUCCUGACGACUAAGCUCUCAGAUACGUGAGCCUAUUAGGGCCACUCACAUUCAAACCACCAUACACCCCCAACCCACUCCCCUAUUCCUACCUCUGAGGCCUGCCCAGCCUCUUGCUGGGGGCUCUUUGUCUGUUCUGAUAAAGUACGUGUUUCUUCUUCUUCCUGUUUGUGGCUGGUGCUUCUCUGAUCCUAUUCAAUAUACAACUUGUAGUGUGUCAGCUGCUUCCAGAAUCUGUGAUGGUUCCCUCGUGUCUGAGAGCCUCAAGUUAUUUCCUGCAGCUCUCUUAUGGCUGCUGCUUUCUGUUUCUGUAUCGGGUCUACAAAGGUUACUUUCUAUCAGGGACUCUAAGCUGCCUAUAUCACAUCUCUGGCUCAGAUUACUAGGUGUCACAGUUCAUCUGUGGCCCCUUCCUCUCUCCGCUGUCACUUCUCUUUUCUGUCUGAGUGUAUCUUCUUUCCUGGACGUACAAUUUUCUGGCCAUUUCAUGGAAUGAACCUGGUGGUACCUCUAGAUGACCACAUUCAGUCAAUGCCCUGUGACAGAAGGCGAGAUAGAGUCUGGACAAAUAGACACAGACAAUUGAGGGUCUACAGGUGGCUGUGAUCAUUUUAGUUUAUACUAUUUUAAGAACCAGUGGCCCUUGUGAUCAAGACCAAUAGCUUUCAGCAAAUCCAGCCACAUCUUUUCUGCUCCGUGAAUAGAACAGAGGAUGGUGGGGAUUCAUAUGUGAUAGUCUACCACAUAUGAACUGUGGUAGACUUCUAGAUCAUGGGGAAGGCUCGGGGCAAUGAGGACCUAGAUCGUGGGAAUUCCAUGAGAGUGUUGACCUCCACCAUCCGUGCUUGCUUUGGCCAUAUGACUGACCCUUGCAUCAGACAGGGACAGAUCUAUGCUGGAAAAACUGAGCAGCACCAUGUCAGAUAAGAAUGUUCCAUGAACUGCAUGUCUUAAUUUUGCAAUUACAUUUAUAGCCUCAUUACAACACAAGCUGCUCUUUGAGAGCAGAGUGUACUCAUCAGAGGGAGUUGUUCCCUUCCAAGUUCUCUGAGUGAGACUGUGGUAGGAAAACCAUGCUGAGAAGCCAGAGCAGGCCUCUCCCCUCUGCCAGGGUUCCAGGCAUGUUCUUCAGAUGCCGAUUUCGAUUUCCAUUCCUUUUAUGCAGGCAGGGUUCUGGAGACAAAAUGUCUAACUGUGAUUCACUUUUGGAAAUUCUCACCUUUUUAAAUUGCUGAUGUGGAUUAUGAAAGUGAAAGAAUGUUGAUGGUAGCCCAGGGCCAAAGAGUCUUUCAAUUAUUCUUCCCUUCUUCCAGCCCUAGCUGGCUGAGGCACAGAAAAAGUCUGCUGUCAGCUCUCUGGAAAUGUGUGCCCCAAAUGAAUAGAUGGUUCUAAGAUGGAUUCUCUGGGACAAGAUCUUGCUCUGCUCUCUAUAAUGGCCAAAGGCUGGAGUUCAUUUGCAGAGGAAGCUCUGAGACAAGAGAUAUUAGCACUGGAAUUGAUGGGCAUGGCUCAAUCAAACAGAGCAAGGAAGAAGACUGAUCGCUCAGCUUCUCAGUGCCUUAAGGCAUCGUUUAAAACACCUUAAAUGCAUCUCUGUGCAUCCAAAGCACUGAAGCACAAAGGACUUUCCAAGCUAUUACACUAAACAGUCACUUUUCCCUCUGCUCUGGGAACAUGAAACAACACAGACUUGAGUGGAGCUGAGCUCAGGAUCUCUCAGGGGAGGCCAGUGCCGUGCUGAGGAGAGAUUUGACACCUGUACCACGGUGGCUUAGCAUCAUGCAGCCGGAUGAACACUUGGUGUAGGCGUUUGUUAACCAAUGCAGCUCAUAGGUGGAUGUGACACCAGUGUCUGUAGUCCAAGUACCCAGAGGCUGAGGCAGGUGCUCCAUGGCUAAAUACUGAGUUCCAGGACAGCCUGAGAUAAGAAGCAAAAGCCUGAUUUAAACAAACAAAAUCUCCAUCAAGGCUUCCAGUGGUUUCCAGUGAGAAGACAACGCGGGAUCCUUCCAGGAAAACAGGACGUCAGUUCUCCAGUCUAACAUCCAGCAAGUUGAAACUUGUAUUAAACUAGAUUUCUCUUGCUGACACUA